rnacentral:rRNA from 1 species
CCUACGGGUGGCAGCAGUGGGGUAUAUUGGACAAUGGGCGAAAGCCUGAUCCAGCCAUGCCGCGUGUGUGAAGAAGGCCUUCGGGUUGUAAAGCACUUUCAGUGGGGAAGAAAGCCUUGGGGCUAAUACCCUCGAGGAAGGACAUCACCCACAGAAGAAGCACCGGCUAACUCCGUGCCAGCAGCCGCGGUAAUACGGAGGGUGCGAGCGUUAAUCGGAAUUACUGGGCGUAAAGCGCGCGUAGGCGGUCUGAUAAGCCGGUUGUGAAAGCCCCGGGCUCAACCUGGGAACGGCAUCCGGAACUGUCAGGCUAGAGUGCAGGAGAGGAAGGUAGAAUUCCCGGUGUAGCGGUGAAAUGCGUAGAGAUCGGGAGGAAUACCAGUGGCGAAGGCGGCCUUCUGGACUGACACUGACGCUGAGGUGCGAAAGCGUGGGUAGCAAACAGGAUUAGAUACCCUGGUAGUC